GAUGAACGCUGGCGGCGUGCCUAAUACAUGCAAGUCGAGCGAACGGACGAGAAGCUUGCUUCUCUGAUGUUAGCGGCGGACGGGUGAGUAACACGUGGAUAACCUACCUAUAAGACUGGGAUAACUUCGGGAAACCGGAGCUAAUACCGGAUAAUAUUUUGAACCGCAUGGUUCAAAAGUAAAAGACGGUCUUGCUGUCACUUAUAGAUGGAUCCGCGCUGCAUUAGCUAGUUGGUAAGGUAACGGCUUACCAAGGCAACGAUGCAUAGCCGACCUGAGAGGGUGAUCGACCACACUGGAACUGAGACACGGUCCAGACUCCUACGGGAGGCAGCAGUAGGGAAUCUUCCGCAAUGGGCGAAAGCCUGACGGAGCAACGCCGCGUGAGUGAUGAAGGUCUUCGGAUCGUAAAACUCUGUUAUUAGGGAAGAACAUAUGUGUAAGUAACUGUGCACAUCUUGACGGUACCUAAUCAGAAAGCCACGGCUAACUACGUG
rnacentral:rRNA from 1 species